UAGGGAAUCUUCGGCAAUGGACGAAAGUCUGACCGAGCAACGCCGCGUGAGUGAAGAAGGUUUUCGGAUCGUAAAACUCUGUUGUUAGAGAAGAACAAGGACGUUAGUAACUGAACGUCCCCUGACGGUAUCUAACCAGAAAGCCACGGCUAACUACGUGCCAGCAGCCGCGGUAAUACGUAGGUGGCAAGCGUUGUCCGGAUUUAUUGGGCGUAAAGCGAGCGCAGGCGGUUUCUUAAGUCUGAUGUGAAAGCCCCCGGCUCAACCGGGGAGGGUCAUUGGAAACUGGGAGACUUGAGUGCAGAAGAGGAGAGUGGAAUUCAAUGUGUAGCGGUGAAAUGCGUAGAUAUAUGGAGGAACACCAGUGGCGAAGGCGGCUCUCUGGUCUGUACCUGACGCUGAGGAUCGAAAGCGUGGGGAGCAAACAGG
rnacentral:rRNA from 1 species